AUUGAACGCUGGCGGCAGGCCUAACACAUGCAAGUCGAGCGGAAGAAGGGAGCUUGCUCCUGGAUUCAGCGGCGGACGGGUGAGUAAUGCCUAGGAAUCUGCCUGGUAGUGGGGGAUAACGUCCGGAAACGGGCGCUAAUACCGCAUACGUCCUGAGGGAGAAAGUGGGGGAUCUUCGGACCUCACGCUAUCAGAUGAGCCUAGGUCGGAGUAGCUAGUUGGUGGGGUAAAGGCCUACCAAGGCGACGAUCGGUAACUGGUCUGAGAGGAUGAUCAGUCACACUGGAAGUGAGACACGGUCCAGACUCCUACGGGAGGCAGCAGUGGGGAAUAUUGGACGAUGGGCGAAAGCCUGAUCCAGCCAUGCAGCGUGUGUGAAGAAGGUCUGCGGAUUGUAAAGCACUUUAAGUUGGGAGGAAGGGCAGUAAGUUAAUACCUGGCUGUUUUGACGUGACCAACAGAAUAAGCACCGGCUAACUUCGU
rnacentral:rRNA from 1 species